GACGGGGGAUGCAAGUGUUAUCCGGAAUCACUGGGCGUAAAGCGUCUGUAGGUGGUUAAGUAAGUCAACUGUUAAAUCUUGAGGCUUAACCUCAAAAUCGCAGUCGAAACUGUUUGACUAGAGUAUAGUAGGGGUAAAGGGAAUUUCCAGUGGAGCGGUGAAAUGCGUAGAUAUUGGAAAGAACACCGAUGGCGAAGGCACUUUACUGGGCUAUUACUAACACUGAGAGACGAAAGCUCGGGUAGCAAAUGGG
rnacentral:rRNA from 1 species